rnacentral:rRNA from 1 species
CGGCCGCGUCGACCGAAGGAAAUAUUUAUAGCCUGAAGAUGAGCUCGCGUCCGAUUAGCUAGUUGGCGGAGUAAAGCCCACCAAGGCGACGAUCGGUAGCUGGUCUGAGAGGACGAUCAGCCACACUGGGACUGAGACACGGCCCAGACUCCUACGGGAGGCAGCAGUGGGGAAUUUCCGCAAUGGGCGAAAGCCUGACGGAGCAAGACCGCGUGGGGAAGAAGGCGUCUUGGGUUGUAAACCCCUUUUCGUCUUGGGAAGAAGUUGUGAAAGCAACCUGACGGUACCAAGUCGUGGAGG